rnacentral:rRNA from 1 species
UACAGAGGUCGCAAGCGUUAAUCGGAUUUACUGGGCGUAAAGCGUGUGUAGGUGGUUGUUCAAGUCGGGUGUGAAAUCCCCGGGCUCAACCUGGGAACUGCUUCCGAGACUGAGCGACUAGAGAUCGGUAGAGGGCGGUGGAAUUUCCGGUGUAGCGGUGAAAUGCGUAGAUAUCGGAAGGAACACCAAUGGCGAAGGCAGCCGCCUGGGCCUGAUCUGACACUGAGACACGAAAGCGUGGGGAUCAAACAGG